rnacentral:rRNA from 1 species
AUGAACGCUGGCGGCGUGCCUAAUACCUGCAAGUCGAGCGAACAGACGAGGAGCUUGCUCCUUUGACGUUAGCGGCGGACGGGUGAGUAACACGUGGAUAACCUACCUAUAAGACUGGGAUAACUUCGGGAAACCGGAGCUAAUACCGGAUAACAUGUUGAACCGCAUGGUUCAACAGUGAAAGACGGUCUUGCUGUCACUUAUAGAUGGAUCCGCGCCGCAUUAGCUAGUUGGUAAGGUAACGGCUUACCAAGGCAACGAUGCGUAGCCGACCUGAGAGGGUGAUCGGCCACACUGGAACUGAGACACGGUCCAGACUCCUACGGGAGGCAGCAGUAGGGAAUCUUCCGCAAAGGGCGAAAGCCUGACGGAGCAACGCCGCGUGAGUGAAGAAGGUCUUCGGAUCGUAAAACUCUGUUAUUAGGGAAGAACAAAUGUGUAAGUAACUAUGCACGUCUUGACGGUACCUAAUCAGAAAGCCACGGCUAACUACGUG